rnacentral:rRNA from 1 species
AGUGAACGCUGGCGGUAGGCCUAACACAUGCAAGUCGAACGGCAGCACAGUAAGAGCUUGCUCUUACGGGUGGCGAGUGCGGACGGGUGAGGAAUACAUCGGAAUCUACUUUUUCGUGGGGGAUAACGUAGGGAAACUUACGCUAAUACCGCAUACGACCUACGGGUGAAAGCAGGGGAUCUUCGGACCUUGCGCGAUUGAAUGAGCCGAUGUCGGAUUAGCUAGUUGGCGGGGUAAAGGCCCACCAAGGCGACGAUCCGUAGCUGGUCUGAGAGGAUGAUCAGCCACACUGGAACUGAGACACGGUCCAGACUCCUACGGGGGGCAGCAGUGGGGAAUAUUGGACAAUGGGCGCAAGCCUGAUCCAGCCAUACCGCGUGGGUGAAGAAGGCCUUCGGGUUGUAAAGCCCUUUUGUUGGGAAAGAAAAGCAGCAGGUUAAUACCCCGCUGUUCUGACGGUACCCAAAGAAUAAGCACCGGCUAACUUCGUG